rnacentral:rRNA from 1 species
GAUGAACGCUGACAGAAUGCUUAACACAUGCAAGUCGAUGGGGAAGUGGUGCUUGCACCAUGGCAACCAUGGCGGACGGGUGAGUAACGCGUAAGGGACUUACCUGCAGGACUGGGAUAACAGGGGGAAACUCCUGACAAGACCGGAUAAUGUCAUGGAGCUGCAUGGCUUUAUGAUGAAAGGAGACGCCUGCGGAGAGCCUUGCGUCCUAUUAGCUAGUUGGUGAGGUAAUGGCUCACCAAGGCGAAGAUAGGUAGCCGGCCCGAGAGGGUGGACGGCCACAAGGGGACUGAGAUACGGCCCUUACUCCUACGGGAGGCAGCAGUGGGGAAUAUUGGACAAUGGGGGCAACCCUGAUCCAGCAAUUCUGUGUGCACGAAGAAGGUUUUCGGAUUGUAAAGUGCUUUCAGCAGGGAAGAAGUAAGUGACGGUACCUGCAGAAGAAGCGACGGCUAAAUACGUG